rnacentral:rRNA from 1 species
GACGAACGCUGGCGGCGUGCCUAAUACAUGCAAGUAGAACGCUGAAGGAGGAGCUUGCUUCUCCGGAUGAGUUGCGAACGGGUGAGUAACGCGUAGGUAACCUGCCUGGUAGCGGGGGAUAACUAUUGGAAACGAUAGCUAAUACCGCAUAAGAGUAGAUGUCGCAUGGCAUUUGCUUAAAAGGUGCAACUGCACCACUACCAGAUGGACCUGCGUUGUAUUAGCUAGUUGGUGAGGUAACGGCUCACCAAGGCAACGAUACAUAGCCGACCUGAGAGGGUGAUCGGCCACACUGGGACUGAGACACGGCCCAGACUCCUACGGGAGGCAGCAGUAGGGAAUCUUCGGCAAUGGACGGAAGUCUGACCGAGCAACGCCGCGUGAGUGAAGAAGGUUUUCGGAUCGUAAAGCUCUGUUGUAAGAGAAGAACGAGUGUGAGAGUGGAAAGUUCACACUGUGACGGUAGCUUACCAGAAAGGGACGGCUAACUACGUG